UACGUAGGGUCCGAGCGUUGUCCGGAAUUACUGGGCGUAAAGAGCUCGUAGGUGGUUUGUCGCGUUGUUCGUGAAAACUCACAGCUUAACUGUGGGCGUGCGGGCGAUACGGGCAGACUAGAGUGUGGUAGGGGAGACUGGAAUUCCUGGUGUAGCGGUGAAAUGCGCAGAUAUCAGGAGGAACACCGGUGGCGAAGGCGGGUCUCUGGGCCAUAACUGACGCUGAGGAGCGAAAGCGUGGGGAGCGAACAGG
rnacentral:rRNA from 1 species